UACGUAGGUGGCAAGCGUUGUCCGGAUUUAUUGGGUUUAAAGGGUGCGUAGGCGGUCCUAUAAGUCAGUGGUGAAAUACGGCAGCUCAACUGUCGAGGUGCCAUUGAUACUGUAGGACUUGAGUACAGACGAGGUAGGCGGAAUUGACGGUGUAGCGGUGAAAUGCGUAGAUAUCGUCAGGAAUGCCGGUGGUGAAGACGGGUGACUGGGCUGGUUCUGACACUGAGGCACGAAAGCGUGGGGAGCGAACGGG
rnacentral:rRNA from 1 species